rnacentral:rRNA from 1 species
UAGUGGCGGACGGGUGAGUAACGCGUGGGAAUCUGCCCUCAGGAGGGGGAUAACGGUUGGAAACGACCGCUAAUACCCCAUAUGCCGAGAGGUGAAACGAAAUUCGCCUGAGGAUGAGCCCGCGUCUGAUUAGCUAGUUGGUGGGGUAAGGGCCUACCAAGGCAUCGAUCAGUAGCUGGUCUGAGAGGAUGAUCAGCCACACUGGGACUGAGACACGGCCCAGACUCCUACGGGAGGCAGCAGUGGGGAAUUCUCCGCAAUGGGCGCAAGCCUGACGGGGCAACGCCGCGUGAGGGAUGAAGGCCUCUGGGCUGUAAACCUCUUUUCUCAAGGAAGAAGAACUGACGGUACUUGAGGAAUAAGCCACGGCUAA